rnacentral:pre_miRNA from 1 species
AUGUAAGGUGAUAUGUCUUAAGUAGAGAUAUAAUAUUAUUUGCAAAAAAAUGAAUGUGAGAUAGUUUUUCCUUCACAUCAAAAGUCUUGU